rnacentral:rRNA from 1 species
AACGAACGCUGGCGGCACGCCUAACACAUGCAAGUCGAACGUAGCAUAAGAGCUUGCUCUUAUGACUGAGUGGCGCACGGGUGAGUAACACGUGGGAAUCUGCCUAUUGGUGGGGAAUAACUUUUGGAAACGAAAGCUAAUACCGCAUAAGCCCUAAGGGGGAAAGAUUUAUCGCCAAUAGAUGAGCCCGCGCUAGAUUAGCUAGUUGGUGAGGUAAGAGCUCACCAAGGCUACGAUCUAUAGCUGGUCUGAGAGGAUGGUCAGCCACACUGGGACUGAGACACGGCCCAGACUGCUACGGGAGGCAGCAGUGGGGAAUAUUGGACAAUGGGGGAAACCCUGAUCCAGCGAUGCCGCGUGAGUGAAGAAGGCCUUCGGGUUGUAAAGCUCUUUCAGAGGGGAUGAUAAUGACGGUACCCUCAGAAGAAGCACCGGCUAACUUCGUGCCAGCCGCCGCGGUAA